CCUACGGGUGGCUGCAUUGGGGAAUAUUGCACAAUGGGCGCAAGCCUGAUGCAGCCAUGCCGCGUGUGUGAAGAAGGCCUUCGGGUUGUAAAGCACUUUCAGCGGGGAGGAAGGUGUUAAGGUUAAUAACCUUGUCGAUUGACGUUACCCGCAGAAGAAGCACCGGCUAACUCCGUGCCAGCAGCCGCGGUAAUACGGAGGGUGCAAGCGUUAAUCGGAAUUACUGGGCGUAAAGCGCACGCAGGCGGUCUGUCAAGUCGGAUGUGAAAUCCCCGGGCUCAACCUGGGAACUGCAUUCGAAAGUGGCAGGCUAGAGUCUUGUAGGGGGGGGUAGGAUUCCAGGUGUAGCGGUGAAAUGCGUAAAGAUCUGGGAGAAUACCGGGGGCGAAGGCGGCCCCCUGGACAAAGACUGACGCUCAAGUGCGAAAGCGUGGGGAGCAAACAGGAUUAGAUACCCCGGUAGUC
rnacentral:rRNA from 1 species